rnacentral:rRNA from 1 species
CGAGCGGACGAUGAUAGCUUGCUAUCAGGCGUCGAGCGGCGGACGAGGUGAGUAAUGCUUAGAAUCUGCCCAGUAGUGGGGGACAACAGUCGGAAACGGCUGCUAAUACCGCAUACGCCCUACGGGGGAAAGCAGGGGAUCUUCGGACCUUGCGCUAUUGGAUGAGCCUAAGUCGGAUUAGCUAGUUGGUGAGGUAAAGGCUCACCAAGGCCACGAUCCGUAGCUGGUUUGAGAGGAUGAUCAGCCACAUCGGGACUGAGACACGGCCCGAACUCCUACGGGAGGCAGCAGUGGGGAAUAUUGGACAAUGGGGGCAACCCUGAUCCAGCCAUGCCGCGUGUGUGAAGAAGGCUUUCGGGUUGUAAAGCACUUUCAGCGAGGAGGAGGGCUCUAAAGUUAAUACCUUUAGGGAUUGACGUUACUCGCAGAAGAAGCACCGGCUAACUCCGUGCCAGCAGCCGCGGGAAUACGGAGGGUGCAAGCGUUAAUCGGAAUUACUGGGCGUAAAGCGCGCGUAGGUUGGGUGAGUCAGCGAGAUGUGAAAGCCCCGGGCUUUAACCUGGGAACGGCAUUUCAAACUGCUCGGCUAGAGUGUGCGUAGAGGGUAGUGAUAUUUCCUGUGAAGCGGUGAUAUGCGUACAUUUUA